GAUCCUGGCUCAGAAUCAACGCUGGCGGCGCGCUUAACACAUGCAAGUCGAACGAGAAAGCCCGCAAGGGUGAGUAAAGUGGCGUACGGGUGAGUAACACGUGGGUAAUCUACCUUUUGGUGGGGAAUAACCCUGGGAAACCGGGGCUAAUACCGCAUAAGCUCUUCAUUAUCAAGAUGGAGAGGAAAGGAGCAAUUCGCCGAAAGAGGAGCCCGCGGCUGAUUAGCUAGUUGGUGAGGUAAAGGCUCACCAAGGCAAUGAUCGGUAGCCGGCCUGAGAGGGCACACGGCCACACUGGCACUGAAACACGGGCCAGACUCCUACGGGAGGCAGCAGUGGGGAAUCUUGCACAAUGGGGGAAACCCUGAUGCAGCGACGCCGCGUGAACGAUGAAGCCCUUCGGGGUGUAAAGUUCUUUCGGCAGGGACGAUAAUGACGGUACCUGAAGAAGAAGCUGCGGCUAACUACGUGCCAGCAGCCGCGGUAAUACGUAGGCAGCGAGCGUUGUUCGGAGUUACUGGGCGUAAAGAGUGCGUAGGCGGUUUUCUAAGUUUGGUGUGAAAUCUCCCGGCUUAACUGGGAGGGUGCGCCGAAGACUGGAAGGCUUGAGUAUGGGAGAGGUAAGCGGAAUUCCUGGUGUAGCGGUGAAAUGCGUAGAUAUCAGGAGGAACACCUGCGGUGUAGACGGCU
rnacentral:rRNA from 1 species